GGUCAAGCGAACAAGUGCAUGUGGUGGAUGCCUUGGCGAUCACAGGCGAUGAAGGACGCGGUAGCCUGCGAAAAGCUACGGGGAGCUGGCAAACGAGCUUUGAUCCGUAGAUGUCCGAAUGGGGAAACCCACUCCUUUUGGAGUAUCCAUGGCUGAAUACAUAGGCCAUGUGAAGCGAACGCGGUGAACUGAAACAUCUAAGUAACCGCAGGAAAAGAAAUCAACCGAGAUUCCCAAAGUAGUGGCGAGCGAAAUGGGAUGAGCCUUGCACUCUUUAUUUGUAUUGUUAGCCGAACGCUCUGGAAAGUGCGGCCAUAGCAGGUGAUAGCCCUGUAGGCGAAAACAGUAUGAAAGAACUAGGUGUGCGACAAGUAGGGCGGGACACGUGAAAUCCUGUCUGAAGAUGGGGGGACCAUCCUCCAAGGCUAAAUACUCGUGAUCGACCGAUAGUGAACCAGUACCGUGAGGGAAAGGCGAAAAGAACCCCGGGAGGGAGUGAAAUAGAUCCUGAAACCGCAUGCAUACAAACAGUCGGAGCCUCGCAAGGGGUGACGGCGUACCUUUGUAUAAUGGGUCAGCGACUUACGUUCAGUAGCAAGCUUAACCGUAUAGGGCAGGCGUAGCGAAAGCGAGUCCGAAUAGGGCGUUCAGUUGCUGGGCGUAGACCCGAAACCAAGUGAUCUAUCCAUGGCCAGGAUGAAGGUGCGGUAACACGUACUGGAGGUCCGAACCCACUAACGUUGAAAAGUUAGGGGAUGAGCUGUGGAUAGGGGUGAAAGGCUAAACAAACUUGGAAAUAGCUGGUUCUCUCCGAAAACUAUUUAGGUAGUGCCUCGUGUCUCACCUUCGGGGUAGAGCACUGUCAUGGUUGGGGGGUCUAUUGCAGAUUACCCCGCCAUAGCAAACUCCGAAUACCGAAGAGUGCAAUCACGGGAGACAGACAUCGGGUGCUAACGUCCGGUGUCAAGAGGGAAACAACCCAGACCGCCAGCUAAGGUCCCCAAAUAUAGCUAAGUGGGAAACGAAGUGGGAAGGCUAAAACAGUCAGGAGGUUGGCUUAGAAGCAGCCACCCUUUAAAGAAAGCGUAAUAGCUCACUGAUCGAGUCGUCCUGCGCGGAAGAUGUAACGGGGCUAAGCUAUAUACCGAAGCUGCGGAUGCGAGCUAGUCUCGCAUGGUAGGAGAGCGUUCUGUAAGCCUGCGAAGGUGUCUCGGAAGGGAUGCUGGAGGUAUCAGAAGUGCGAAUGCUGACAUGAGUAGCGAUAAAGGGGGUGAAAGGCCCCCUCGCCGUAAGCCCAAGGUUUCCUACGCAACGUUCAUCGGCGUAGGGUGAGUCGGCCCCUAAGGCGAGGCAGAAAUGCGUAGCUGAUGGGAAGCAGGUCAAUAUUCCUGCACCAUUGUUAGAUGCGAUGGGGGGACGGAUCGCGGAAGGUUGUCCGGGUGUUGGAAGUCCCGGUCGCUGCAUUGGAGAAGGCGCUUAGGCAAAUCCGGGCGCAGGAUUCAAGGGUGUGGCGCGAGCUCCUUAGGGAGCGAAGCAAUUGGAAGUGGUUCCAAGAAAAGCCUCUAAGCUUCAGUCUAAUGAUGACCGUACCGCAAACCGACACAGGUGGGCGAGAUGAGUAUUCUAAGGCGCUUGAGAGAACUCGGGAGAAGGAACUCGGCAAAUUGGUACCGUAACUUCGGGAUAAGGUACGCCCUUGUAGCUUGAUGCGCCUGCGCGCAGAGGGUGAAGGGGUUGCAAUAAACUGGUGGCUGCGACUGUUUAAUAAAAACACAACACUCUGCAAACACGAAAGUGGACGUAUAGGGUGUGACGCCUGCCCGGUGCCGGAAGAUUAAAUGAUGGGGUGCAAGCUCUUGAUUGAAGUCCCGGUAAACGGCGGCCGUAACUAUAACGGUCCUAAGGUAGCGAAAUUCCUUGUCGGGUAAGUUCCGACCUGCACGAAUGGCGUAACGAUGGCCACACUGUCUCCUCCCGAGACUCAGCGAAGUUGAAGUGUUUGUGAUGAUGCAAUCUACCCGCGGCUAGACGGAAAGACCCCAUGAACCUUUACUGUAGCUUUGCAUUGGACUUUGAACCGAUCUGUGUAGGAUAGGUGGGAGGCUAUGAAACCGGAACGCUAGUUUCGGUGGAGCCGUCCUUGAAAUACCACCCUGGUUUGUUUGAGGUUCUAACCUUGGCCCGUGAUCCGGGUCGGGGACAGUGCAUGGUAGGCAGUUUGACUGGGGCGGUCUCCUCCCAAAGCGUAACGGAGGAGUACGAAGGUACGCUAGGUACGGUCGGAAAUCGUGCUGAUAGUGCAAUGGCAUAAGCGUGCUUAACUGCGAGACCGACAAGUCGAGCAGGUGCGAAAGCAGGUCAUAGUGAUCCGGUGGUUCUGUAUGGAAGGGCCAUCGCUCAACGGAUAAAAGGUACUCUGGGGAUAACAGGCUGAUACCGCCCAAGAGUUCAUAUCGACGGCGGUGUUUGGCACCUCGAUGUCGGCUCAUCUCAUCCUGGGGCUGUAGCCGGUCCCAAGGGUAUGGCUGUUCGCCAUUUAAAGAGGUACGUGAGCUGGGUUUAAAACGUCGUGAGACAGUUUGGUCCCCUAUCUGCCGUGGGCGUUGGAUAUUUGAAGGGGGCUGCUCCUAGUACGAGAGGACCGGAGUGGACGAACCUCUGGUGUACCGGUUGUCACGCCAGUGGCAUCGCCGGGUAGCUAUGUUCGGAAGAGAUAACCGCUGAAAGCAUCUAAGCGGGAAACUCGCCUUAAGAUGAGAUAUCCCUGGGGACUAGAUCCCCUUGAAGGGUCGUUCGAGACCAGGACGUUGAUAGGUCAGGUGUGUAAGCGCAGUAAUGCGUUCAGCUAACUGAUACUAAUUGCCCGUAAGGCUUGAUCCU
rnacentral:rRNA from 1 species